rnacentral:rRNA from 1 species
GGAUUAGAUACCCUGGUAGUCCACGCCGUAAACGAUGUCUACUAGUUGUUGGGGGACUUGAUUCCUUAGUAACGAAGCUAACGCGAUAAGUAGACCGCCUGGGGAGUACGGCCGCAAGGUUAAAACUCAAAUGAAUUGACGGGGGCCCGCACAAGCGGUGGAGCAUGUGGUUUAAUUCGAAGCAACGCGAAGAACCUUACCAACUCUUGACAUCCAGAGAACUUGCUAGAGAUAGCUUGGUGCCUUCGGGAACUCUGUGACAGGUGCUGCAUGGCUGUCGUCAGCUCGUGCCG